rnacentral:misc_RNA from 1 species
UCCCCCGUGAGGGGGCAGUCUCGCCUGACAUAUAUAACAGACAACGUGGGUUGCGUUCGUUACCCCACUGAAGGGAACAGCUCAAGCCACGAACUGACGACAACCAUGCAUCACCUGUCCAACACCCUCGAAGGCUUCCUCCCUUUCGGGAGGCGUGCAGUUGGAUUUCUAACCCUGGUAAGGUUUUUCGCGGAUCGACGAAUUAAGCCACGCGUUCCACCGCUUGUGCGAGUCCCCGUCUAUUCCUUUGAGUUUUAAUCUUGCGAUCGUACUACCCAGGCGGCUCGCUUACCGCGUUAGCUUAGUCCCGCAGAGGGUCGAUACUCCGCAGAACGAGCGAGCAACGUUUAGGGCCAGGACUA